CAUUUUUCUAAACUUUAUACUUUUUAAAAUAUUAAAUAAAAACUAAUACAAUUUCUCCCAUUGACUUACAUUGGGCCAUUAUGACAUCAUAAUAGGGUCUUUAAACUGGCUUGCACCUGUGCUUCACUGACACCUGCGCCAAGGUUCCAAGGCUCCUCUUCUCUCUGUCCCUCUCCAUUCAACUGUAUAACUAGGAAUAUUAUUCUUUCCUUCUUCCACUCUUCUUCUUUCGUUCUUCCACUCUUCUUUCCUUCUUCCACUCUCCUUUCCUUUCUUCUUUCCUUCUUCUACUCUUCUUUUCUUUCUUCACUCUUCUUUCCUUCUUCCACUCUUCUUUCCUUCUUUUACUCUCCUUUCCUUUCUUCUUUCCUUCUUUCUUUUCUUCUUCCACUCUUCUUUCCUUUCUUCACUCUUCUUUCCUUUCUUCUUUCCUUCUUUCACUCUUCUUUCUUUUCUUCUUUCCUUUCUUCACUCUUCUUUCCUUUAUUCUUUCCUUCUUCCACUCUUCUUUCCUUCUUCCACUCUUCUUUCCUUUCUUCACUCUUCUUUCCUUUCUUCUUCUUCUUCCACUCUUCUUUCCUUUCUUCACUCUUCUUUCCUUUCUUCUUUCCUUCUUUCACUCUUCUUUCUUUUCUUCUUUCCUUUCUUCACUCUUCUUUCCUUCUUCCACUCUUCUUUCCUUUCUUCACACUUCUUUCCUUUCUUCUUUCCUUCUUCCUCUCUUCUUUCCUUCUUUUACUCUUCUUUCCUUUCUUUUUUCCUUAUUUCACUCUUCUUUCUUUUCUUCUUCCUUUCUUAACUUUUGCAUUUCAUGCACUGGUAUUUCCUUCAGGAAAUGCAUUUUCUAGUUACAGUGCAUGAAAUGCCCUGUAUUGUUAUUCCUAGGCUUCUUAUUCUUCUUCUUCUUAUUAUUCUCUUUACCGACUUCUGCGCUUAAUUCAGCUUGAACCGCUUAACUUAGAAACUUCGUUCAAACUUUGCUGCGUAGGUCUUGAAAGGGACACUUAUGCUAUGUAUUUUUCAUUUUUCUAAACUUUAUACUUUUUAAGAUAUUAAAGAAAAACUAAUACAAUUUCUC
ensembl:lncRNA